GUGCUGAACUUUUAUUAAUAGACAACAUUUUGUGAGGAAAGGACAACUUCAGAUUUUUUUUCCCAAGACAAAUAUAUUUAUGCAGGAGCAGCAGAGAAGAAUGCCCAGACUCUGUCAGGACACACCUGCAGCCCAGGCUGCUCUCCAAGCACCUCUCCUGCCAUUCCUGACCCCCAACGAUGCUGCCUCCCUCCCACAAUCUGAGAAAGAAGUUGGCUAGAUGCUAUGAGAACCCAAAACAAAUAGGAGCCUACCCUCUACUAUACACUGGAAUCAAAGGCAAGCAGGAGGGGAAACAGGCUUUGAACAUAGACACGUCUGUGGCAGUCUCCCAAAAGCAGCCUUUUUAAGAUCACCGUAUGGAAGGUAAAUAUUUUUGUCUGGCAUAUGUAGUGGCUGCAGGAAGCAUGCCAUCCAUUUCUUUCUAGUCUUUUUUUAAAUUGGAAAACAUUCAUUUUUUUCAUCUUUACUAGUAGUUUUAAUCUACUCUUUGUUAGUGAGAUAGGCUUAACUCUUUCAGAGCAUUUCUUUAUUGAUUUAUGUUUGCAAUCUUGCAUGCCUUGUUUUGAAUUUCAUUCAUGUUUAUCUUUACAUUGAGAAUAAACAUUUACAAAUAAAUAUAAACAUGCUUAGCUUUUAGUUAACUCUGGGCAAAGGAAUAGUAGGUUUAUGAAUGAUCUCCACAGUCCCUUCUCUCCUAAACCAGCAGGUGGCACUGUAUACUCACCAAUGAACAGAUAAAGGUAGCAAUGUAAAACCUGUAGCAUUUUACCCCACUACAGAAUGUGGGGUUCACUUCUCACAUCAUUAUUUUAUGUCACUACUUUAACAUGAAAUCAGUGUGGCGGUGUAUUUAUAAUACAACUAUUAUAUCUAUCUGAUCUAGUGGUUUUAGGCACAUGAGAGAUAGUUGACAAAAAAAGUUCAAACACUUAUUUACAGAUUGGAUGUGAAUUCUGAUUUGUAAUUGCACGUUAUUUUAUAUUUGGUAAGCUUUUUAACCCUUUACACUCGUAAAGUGGCAGAUUUGGGCGCUGAUAAAUGCUCUGAGCUUCACUGCAUUGUAUUGGUUUUGACUGAGAGCCGUUCUGGACUUGAGCACCACAUGCGACAAGAAGUUGCCUCCAGCCCUCCCGCUAAUUGGGUAACUUUAGCAAAUGUUUGGUUGUCUGAGUGAGGGAAAUGCUGUAAAUUAAGGACUUGAU